rnacentral:rRNA from 1 species
AGAGUUUGAUCCUGGCUCAGGAUGAACGCUAGCGAUAGGCUUAACACAUGCAAGUCGAGGGGCAGCAUGGUCUUAGCUUGCUAAGACUGAUGGCGACCGGCGCACGGGUGCGUAACGCGUAUGCAACUUGCCUCACAGAGGGGGAUAACCCGUCGAAAGACGGACUAAUACCGCGUACACUCCAUCUUGGGCAUCCAAGGAGGAGGAAAUGAACUUCGCUGUGAGAUAGGCAUGCGUCCCAUUAGCUUGUUGGUGAGGUAACGGCUCACCAAGGCGACGAUGGGUAGGGGAACUGAGAGGUUGAACCCCCACACUGGUACUGAGACACGGACCAGACUCCUACGGGAGGCAGCAGUGAGGAAUAUUGGUCAAUGGGCGAGAGCCUGAACCAGCCAAGUCGCGUGAAGGAUGACUGUCUUAUGGAUUGUAAACUUCUUUUAUACGGGAAUAAUAAGAGUCACGUGUGACUCCCUGCAUGUACCGUAUGAAUAAGCAUCGGCUAACUCCGUGCCAGCAGCCGCGGUAAUACGGAGGAUGCGAGCGUUAUCCGGAUUUAUUGGGUUUAAAGGGUGCGUAGGCGGCCUGUUAAGUCAGCGGUGAAAUCUAGGAGCUUAACUCCUAAAUUGCCAUUGAAACUGGCGGGCUUGAGUGUAGAUGAGGUAGGCGGAAUGCGUGGUGUAGCGGUGGAAUGCAUAGAUAUCACGCAGAACUCCAAUUGCGAAGGCAGCUUACUAAGGUACAACUGACGCUGAAGCACGAAAGCGUGGGUAUCAAACAGGAUUAGAUACCCUGGUAGUCCACGCAGUAAACGAUGAUAACUGGGCGUAUGCGAUAUACAGUAUGCUCCUAAGCGAAAGCGUUAAGUUAUCCACCUGGGGAGUACGCCGGCAACGGUGAAACUCAAAGGAAUUGACGGGGGCCCG